AUGAAAAGCACUGUCCUGAUCCAUUUCCAAGGACUGACCCAGUGUGCAAUUCUAUGGCCCCGAAGGAUUCAGGUGGGAGGAAGUGAUUGCAGACGUCGGGGGUUGGAGGGCAGCUUUCCGACCCCUGGACCUCGCUGGGGACAUCCAGCGGCCGCUCAGACUCGGCGCUGCCAGAGGCACAUUCCCUGCAACUUGUCAGUUCUCUCCUUGCAGGGCGAGCUGGUCACUUCACAUCUCUCCUCGCCGCCGCCUCCGCCUGGCCGGCGGGACGCCGAAUGGACCCCUCACAGGGCCCGGGCUCUCCCGACUCCUGCCUGCACCGCUUUGGGAACGAGGAGGGGACUUUGGAAGUCAGCCUGGCACCCUCAACCCUCUUCCUCUUUCCAGACGCCCUUGCCCCAUCUCCCCACUCCCCAUUUUGGGCUUCAGUGGUCUCUUCCUGAGCCCCUUUCCUCGCCUUAGGACCUGCCAGAAGUGGGCAAAGAUGAAUCCCAGCAGCAGCGCAUGGCCGCUGUAGGGACCAACAGGAGCUGAGCGACCUGCUCGACUGUAGUGCGGCAUGAGAACUUUCCGCGACAUCUUGGAGUUCUGCCCAGGCUUACAAAAAAAAGGAAGGAAAGGAAAAGAAAAAAAAGGCAAUGUGGAGAUUAGCAGCGUGAAGUCCGUCUGAUUUGAGCAGUAGUUCUUGGGGCUGUAGUCCAGCUUCCCUGAGUUGGACAUCUGAAGUUUGAUGCAAUGCUUAGACUUGCAGAUUUAAAACUUGAAUGCCAGAGGAGUCAUUUGAUUUAACCAGUUAAAAGGAGGACAGUAUAAUCGUGAGUCACCCGCUCACCCUGAUGUUUAUUAGGAAUUUAAGGAUUUGGGGGUCAUAUGAAAAAGGAACAUUAAUUUUUCUUUAACAUCCCUUUCCAUUCCCCUCCCCAAGAUCAGAUUAAUGUAGUUUGUGAUAACUGAACUAGGUCAGUUAUAAGAAAACCAGUACAGGGCUAACAUGUCCAGCCAUUUGAGCUGGGCAUUUUUAUUUUGUGACUGCUUUGGAAUUUUUUUUUUUUUGACAUGGGAAAUAAUUUAACACCUUAAACAAAUAUCAGCUGAAACCAAAGGACCACUGCCUUUACUUCGAAUGGGUCGAAUUUCUUUGUUACCUGCUGGGUAGGAGGCAGGACCAACACCUGCUCUGUAGAACUGUGUUAUAAUGAAUCUUGACUGUAUGUGGUAGUGUCAUUGGACACGAUUUUGACAUAUGUCAAUGUCAUAUAAAUGUAAAGUAAAUAUAAUGAAAUUCACUUCUUUCCAAAGAGAAGAUCGUAGGCAAAAAUUUACAGUUUAAACUUAGUAAUCUUAAAAUCUCUCGUGUAAGUGGCUGUUUCUCCAGAACAGAACAUAACCAGUAUUUCCAAGUAGUGUUAGGCAAUAGUAUCACUCAAUGUAUUUGCCCUAUAUUUGUGGACUCUUAUUUUAAAUGUGAAUGAAAUAAAUGAUACAGAUAGAUAUCUAGAUUUAAAGUU
rnacentral:lncRNA from 1 species